GACGAACGCUGGCGGCGUGCCUAAUACAUGCAAGUAGAACGCAGUUGCGAACGGGUGAGUAACGCGUAGGUAACCUGCCUCAUAGCGGGGGAUAAGCUUGGGAAACUGGGUCUAAUACCGGAUAGUGCAAGAUGAGCUCGCGGCCUAUCAGCUUGUUGGUGGGGUAAUGGCCUACCAAGGCGUCGACGGGUAGCCGGCCUGAGAGGGGGUACGGCCACAUUGGGAAUGAGAUACGGCCCAGACUCCUACGGGAGGCAGCAGUGGGGAAUAUUGCGCAAUGGGCGGAAGCCUGAUGCAGCGACGCCGAGUGGGGGAUGAAGGCCUUCGGGUUGUAAACUCCUUUCGACAGGGACGCGGUACCUGUAUAAGAAGCACCGGCUAACUACGUGCCAGCAGCCGCGGUAAUAC
rnacentral:rRNA from 1 species